AUCCUUUUGUAGUUUAUAAGCACGAUGAUGGCAUUUUCACACUCACAUGUGAGAUGUGCCUCCCUCAAACCUUGUUACUAUGUUGGCACCUUCCCUGUCUAAUG